GAUGAACGCUAGCGAUAGGCUUAACACAUGCAAGUCGAGGGGCAGCACAAGGUAGCUUGCUAUCUGGGUGGCGACCGGCGCACGGGUGCGUAACGCGUAUGCAACUUGCCCUAUACAGGAGGAUAACCCGUCGAAAGACGGACUAAUACUGCGUAUGCUCACAACUUGGCAUCAAGUGGUGAGGAAAGAAAUUCGGUAUAGGAUAGGCAUGCGUCCCAUUAGCUUGUUGGUGAGGUAACGGCUCACCAAGGCAACGAUGGGUAGGGGAACUGAGAGGUUUAUCCCCCACACUGGUACUGAGACACGGACCAGACUCCUACGGGAGGCAGCAGUGAGGAAUAUUGGUCAAUGGGCGCGAGCCUGAACCAGCCAAGUCGCGUGAAGGAGGACUGUCUUAUGGAUUGUAAACUUCUUUUAUAUGGGAAGAACAAGAGUCACGUGUGACUCCCUGCAUGUACCGUAUGAAUAAGCAUCGGCUAACUCCGUG
rnacentral:rRNA from 1 species